AAGCCGGCGUCUAUGCUAAAUUCCGGAUCAUCGACUCUAAGAUUUUUUAAAAUGUUCUAACGUUGUGUUUUUAAUCAAAAUGGUAUGAGUCGCAAUUUUCGCAAUUCACCGUCAACGUUUUCCAUUUUAUUCCGCCCACUUUGCCACUCGAAUCUACCAAGCAUGCACGCCACGUCAUCAUUAGUCCUAAUCAUUACUGAAUAAAUUAAAAAUAAAAAAGAAAAAAUAUUUUCUCCUCCUCCACCCUCUCUCCCUUUCUUUCUUCCUCUCUCCCCCUUCAUCUCUCUCUUCUCAAACUAAAAAUACAG
rnacentral:lncRNA from 1 species